rnacentral:ribozyme from 13 species
ACAAAAAAGAAAAACAAACAAAAACAAAAACAAAACAGAUCUUCCACUCACAUAUAUCAUUUUAUGUUUUUUCUUUUUUUGUUAAAUCCUUAUUUCUCUUUUAUUAUAUUUAUAUAAAAAAAACAAAAAAGGUU